UAAAAAACGGAUCAGCCCACAAAAGGCGACCCGGGUCCAUCACAUAAACCAGACAUAACAAGGAAAUUCCCUAUUCAGACAAACAUAUCAAUAAACUCGAAAUUGGAAACAAAGAGAGCUGCCGCCUAUCUCGUCAUCGAAAAUGGCUUCUCCGUCGACCUUCCUUGUCAAAGUGGUUAUUGUUGUAGAUGUAAACUCUAUAUAUUAAUAAACACGAAAUAGGAAUCUAAAACAGCUGCAUCCUAUCUCGUCAUCGAAAAUGGCUUCUCCGUCGACCGUCUGCUCCAACUCAUCGGACCAAGAGUUCAUCUUGUCACCUUCCUUGUCAAAGUUAAGUUCCUUUUUCCCCUUCCUUCCAUUGUUAUUUUAUGGGUUGAGCUUCAAUUGUUGUAGAUUUAAACUCUAUAUAUCAAUAGAUUAGCACUUUAGAUCCGAUUUCAUACUGUUUGAUUGCAUUUACCUUCGACAUCCGAAACUCUCAUUGGAUGUUGGUGUAGCAAUCGCAGGAACUCAUUUCCAGCGGUAGAUGAAAUCAUUUCCACUGUCAAUCCCUGAUUAAUAUAGUUUUCAAUCUACUCACCCUUCUAAUUUGGUUUUCAUCUUGGUUGCAAGUACAUUUCGAGAAUCUCUUCUCAGCUGAAUUGAGCAGAAAAGAAGGAACUGCCUUACUGCCAACAGG